GGGGCAUUAGCUCAAUCGGCAGAGCAAGCCGCUCAUAACGGCUCGGUUCCGGGUUCAAAUCCCCGAUGCCCCA
rnacentral:tRNA from 1 species